AUAUAAAUCACCCCACCACUUUAGAGCAAUUCAAAUGAGGUACAGCCCAUUUGAUACAGAAUACAACCUUAACUAACGGGUAAUAUAAUGAUACAACUUCAAGUGGGCCUAAGAGCAGCCACCUAUUAUAAAAGCGUCAAAGCUUAAUCACGUUACCACUAAUUCCAAAUUUUCUAUCGACCCCUUUAAUCAUAUUGAGAAAUUCUAUAAUACAUAGAACCUUUUAUGCUAAAACUAGUAACAAGAGAUAUACCCUCUCUUAAUGCAAACACAAGCCAGCAAGAACCCGUCACUGGCAACUAACAGACCUAAACAAAAAUAGCAACCUCACUAGAAAACCCUACUCCUUUUUAACUGUUAACCUGACACUAGAGCAUUUCAAGAAAGAUUAAAAGAAAAAGAAGGAACUCGGCAAACAUUAAUCCCGCCUGUUUACCAAAAACAUCGCCUCUUGAUUUCAUAAGAGGUCAAGCCUGCCCAGUGACCCUGUUCAACGGCCGCGGUAUUCUAACCGCGCAAAGGUAGCGUAAUCACUUGUUUUCUAAAUAAAGACCAGUAUGAAAGGCAUCACGAGGACAAAACUGUCUCCUUUUCUCAAUCAGUGAACCUAAUCUCCCCGUGAAGAAG
rnacentral:rRNA from 2 species